rnacentral:rRNA from 1 species
CUAUCUGCAGUCGAGGGGCAUCGCAGGUAGCAAUACUGGGCGGCGACCGGCAAACGGGUGCGGAACACGUACGUAACCUUCCUUUAAGUGGGAGAUAGCCCGAAGAAAUUCGGAUUAAUACCCCAUAAGAUCAUAGAGUGGCAUCACUUAGUGAUUAAAGAAUUUCGCUUAAAGAUGGGCGUGCGGCUGAUUAGGUAGUUGGUGAGGUAACGGCUCACCAAGCCAACGAUCAGUAACUGGCGUGAGAGCGCGACCAGUCACACGGGCACUGAGACACGGGCCCGACUCCUACGGGAGGCAGCAGUAAGGAAUAUUGGUCAAUGGACGGAAGUCUGAACCAGCCAUGCCGCGUGAAGGAUGAAGGUCCUCUGGAUUGUAAACUUCCUUUAUAUGGGAAGAAACCACUUUUAUCUAAAGGUGUUGACGGUACCAUAGGAAUAAGCACCGGCUAACUCCGUGCCAGCAGCCGCGGUAAUACGGAGGGUGCAAGCGUUAUCCGGAUUCACUGGGUUUAAAGGGUGCGUAGGCGGAUUGGUAAGUCCGUGGUGAAAUCUCCGAGCUUAACUCGGAAACUGCCAUGGAUACUAUUAGUCUUGAAUAUUGUGGAGGUUAGCGGAAUAUGUCAUGUAGCGGUGAAAUGCAUAGAUAUGACAUAGAACACCAAUUGCGAAGGCAGCUGGCUACACAAAUAUUGACGCUGAUGCACGAAAGCGUGGGGAUCAAACAGGAUUAGAUACCCUGGUAGUCCACGCCCUAAACGAUGAUUACUCGACAUUUGCGAUAUACAGUAAGUGUCUGAGCGAAAGCAUUAAGUAAUCCACCUGGGAAGUACGACCGCAAGGUUGAAACU